GGUACAGAGACACACUGUCAAGGUGACAGGUAUCCUAGUGGUUUAGAGACUGAGAGGUAUAGAGACACACUGUCAAGGUGACAGGUAUCCUAGUGGUUUAGAGACUGAGAGGUAUAGAGACACACUGUCAAGGUGACAGGUAUCCUAGUGGUUUAGAGACUGAGAGGUACAGAGACACACUGUCAAGGUGACAGGUAUCCUAGUGGUUUAGAGACUGAGAGGUAUAGAGACACACUGUCAAGGUGACAGGUAUCUUAGUGGUUUAGAGACUGAGAGGUAGAGAGACACACUGUCAAGGUGACAGGUAUCCUAGUGGUUUAGAGACUGAGAGGUAUAGAGACACACUGUCAAGGUGACAGGUAUCCUAGUGGUUUAGAGACUGAGAGGUACAGAGACACACUGUCAAGGUGACAGGUAUCCUAGUGGUUUAGAGACUGAGAGGUAUAGAGACACACUGUCAAGGUGACAGGUAUCCUAGUGGUUUAGAGACUGAGAGGUAUAGAGACACACUGUCAAGGUGACAGGUAUCCUAGUGGUUUAGAGACUGAGAGGUAGAGAGACACACUGUCAAGGUGACAGGUAUCCUAGUGGUUUAGAGACUGAGAGGUACAGAGACACACUGUC